AACAGUUCUUGUAAUAGCAAAAGACUGCUUGCAACACACAGGUCCUCUGAUGAUCAACAUAAUUUUACAGUGGGAUGCUACCCAGAAGUAAAAAGGGCUAAAUUGUUGAGGUGCCUUGGGGAACACUGGACCAAAGUAAAUCAAAUAGUGUGGACAAUUCUCAGAACUCCUGGACCUUUAUUGGCCCGGGUGCUUUCCCGAAGACAGAAGAUUCACUUAACACAGGAGAUGCAUGUACAAGUCACAGUGAACGUGUGGAGAUCAGAGGACACUCUGAGAGAGUCAGCCCUCUCCUUUCACCAUGUGGCCUCUGCGGAUCCAGCCCAGCUUCCUUUUUCUAAUUACAACAGAUAAGACAUUAUGAGUAUCUGUGCCAGGCGCUACAGAGUGGGCUGUAGAGGAAGCCCAUCAGCCCCAGAGCGUGUCAGGUUCCUGUUUCUGUCUCCUGUUGUAACUUCUCUCAAUGAUGGAUCGAGACCAGAGAGUUGGAAAAUUAAAUAAACCCUUCUU